CAAGGGUGAACCUGCUAAACUGAUUAUACUCAACACUUUUCAAUUUGCUAGGCGGUCUUACUCGACAUUAAAAACAUUCACAGAAUCUUUGAACGUCACUCAGGCAGCCAUAUCAAAACAUUCAAAUGCUGUUUGACCACAAUGGAAAUAACUCAAUUUUGCGUGUUUGUGACUGCUGAUGAAUAAUGGAUCCAUUUCAGCAAUCAUAAACUCAAAAAUCAUAGGUGAAACUUGAUCAAUCAGACAAAGCUGAAUUUAUAUGAUAAAUUUAAAUUACUCAAAAUUAAAAUAUUGUUAAAUAAGACUCUUUGAUUCGAGAGAGAGGCGUCAAAACCCCAUCUUUUAUAUUAUGUGCCAAUGAUGCCACCAUUGAAAAAUAUUAGAUUGUGCAAUUCGUUUUAGUGCUGCCCUUCUGGCAUCCCGCCUUUUUCACUAAUACCAAGAAUGAUAGAGAAAGAGGUUAUGAAGUGCGCAUGUUUGCUUUCAGUCAGCUGUUCUUGCUGACGUCAGGGUUAACUUAUUAUUCGCCCGCGCCUUUGAAUGUGAACUCGAAUUGUACUAUCGGUUGAAGUAUUAAUUGAGAAAUUUUAUAUUUUUUAAAAUGCGCUGCGCAGUGUUCGGAUGCAAUAAUAACAAUGUUAAAAAUAGUGCUACGGAGUGGAGAUUUUUCCAUUUCCCUAAGGAUAAAACAGUACUAAAACAAUGGAUUAAUUUUUGUAGUCGGGCGGACAAAAUUAAUGUUAAAAAUGCGUUCAUUUGUGAAGUGCAAUGCACUCCAGGAGCCUCCGAAAGCAGCUUGCAGUUUAUAAUGGGUAAUUAUAUCAUUUUGACUACAAUUAUUUUACUUUUAUAACCAAACAACGAAGGAGAGGUUACAGAUGAAGGAAAUGUUAAAAUCGACAACACCCAGAUUUGGAAGGGAAUUACUUAUAUCUAACCGGUAAUAUUUUUUAACGUGUAUCAGUAGAUCUAAAUUUCACUGGCCCAACUGAAAAAAAAAUUUACUUGAGAAUUUGGCAGGGUACAUUUGCCACAAACUUAGUAAAGACAACCCCGAAAUUUCUGUCAAUUCAGAAAAUUGUUCAUCUUAUACUUGGGUGGAUUCCCUUUCUAAAGGAGAACUCUCAAAACCAACAGAUAUGUUGAUGGAGCAUAUGAGAGCCUUGCAAACAGUAUUUGACGACAUAAAUGGUACUGAUUUGCAUAUAUGUACAAAUUAUGUUCAAAAGCACCUAGAUUUAAGUAAUUUUGUAAACUGUACCACGAAAAAAAAGAACUAUUUUUUAGAGCUAGAAUGUAUUUUAUGA